rnacentral:lncRNA from 1 species
GUUUGAUUUCGAAAAAAAUCAAUUUUUGGUGAAAAAUUCGAUCCGGGGGGUAUACCCGAAAAAUGAAAAAACCCAAACUUUGAUGGUCGAUAUCUCGACUUCUAUGGGAGCUAUCGGAAAAAUUCCAACGGUUUUGUCUUAGUUUCGUCAUUCUGAAUCCAACGAGACCAUCCGCAAGGUCGUAGCUCUUACGAUAGCCGAGAUAUGGCAUUUUUGAUGCCCAUUUUUGGCCUCAAAAACGGACGUCGAAAACGACUUUUUCAGGAUUUUCAAAGUGCUCUCAUUCCCUUAGUUCUGCUCGGAUCCUGUUAUAACCCGGUGUUUUCGUAAUCUAGGUGAUCCAAAUAAGACGCUGGUAUACUUAGUUUGAUUUCGAAAAAAAUCAAUUUUUGGUGAAAAAUUCGAUACGGGGGGGUAUACCCGAAAAACGACUUUUUCAGGAUUUUCAAAGUGCUCUCAUUCCCUUAGUUCUGCUCGGAUCCUGUUAUAACCCGGUGUUUUCGUAAUCUAGGUGAUCCAAAUAAGACGCUGGUAUACUUAGUUUGAUUUCGAAAAAAAUCAAUUUUUGGUGAAAAAUUCGAUACGGGGGGGUAUACCCGAAAAAUGAAAAAACCCAAACUUUGAUGGUUGAUAUCUCGGCUUCUAUGGGAGCUAUCGGGAAAAUUCCAACGGUUUUGUCUUAGUUUCGUCAUUCUGAAUCCAACGAGACCAUCCGCAAGGUCGUAGCUCUUACGAUAGCCGAGAUAUGGCAUUUUUGAUGCCCAUUUUUGGCCUCAAAAACGGACGUCGAAAACGACUUUUUCAGGAUUUUCAAAGUGCUCUCAUUCCCUUAGUUCUGCUCGGAUCCUGUUAUAACCCGGUGUUUUCGUAAUCUAGGUGAUCCAAAUAAGACGCUGGUAUACUUAGUUUGAUUUCGAAAAAAAUCAAUUUUUGGUGAAAAAUUCGAUACGGGGGGGUAUACCCGAAAAACGACUUUUUCAGGAUUUUCAAAGUGCUCUCAUUCCCUUAGUUCUGCUCGGAUCCUGUUAUAACCCGGUGUUUUCGUAAUCUAGGUGAUCCAAAUAAGACGCUGGUAUACUUAGUUUGAUUUCGAAAAAAAUCAAUUUUUGGUGAAAAAUUCGAUACGGGGGGGUAUACCCGAAAAAUGAAAAAACCCAAACUUUGAUGGUCGAUAUCUCGGCUUCUAUGGGAGCUAUCGGGAAAAUUCCAACAGUUUUGUCUUAGUUUCGUCAUUCUGAAUCCAACGAGACCAUCCGCAAGGUCGUAGCUCUUACGAUAGCCGAGAUAUGGCAUUUUUGAUGCCCAUUUUUGGCCUCAAAAACGGACGUCGAAAACGACUUUUUCAGGAUUUUCAAAGUGCUCUCAUUCCCUUAGUUCUGCUCGGAUCCUGUUAUAACCCGGUGUUUUCGUAAUCUAGGUGAUCCAAAUAAGACGCUGGUAUACUUAGUUUGAUUUCGAAAAAAAUCAAUUCUUGGUGAAAAAUUCGAUACGGGGGGGUAUACCCGAAAAAUGAAAAAACCCAAACUUUGAAGGUCGAUAUCUCGGCUUCUAUGGGAGCUAUCGGGAAAAUUCCAACGGUUUUGUCUUAGUUUCGUCAUUCUGAAUCCAACGAGACCAUCCGCAAGGUCGUAGCUCUUACGAUAGCCGAGAUAUGGCAUUUUUGAUGCCCAUUUUUGGCCUCAAAAACGGACGUCGAAAACGACUUUUUCAGGAUUUUCAAAGUGCUCUCAUUCCCUUAGUUCUGCUCGGAUCCUGUUAUAACCCGGUGUUUUCGUAAUCUAGGUGAUCCAAAUAAGACGCUGGUAUACUUAGUUUGAUUUCGAAAAAAAUCAAUUUUUGGUGAAAAAUUCGAUACGGGGGGGUAUACCCGAAAAACGACUUUUUCAGGAUUUUCAAAGUGCUCUCAUUCCCUUAGUUCUGCUCGGAUCCUGUUAUAACCCGGUGUUUUCGUAAUCUAGGUGAUCCAAAUAAGACGCUGGUAUACUUAGUUUGAUUUCGAAAAAAAUCAAUUUUUGGUGAAAAAUUCGAUACGGGGGGGUAUACCCGAAAAAUGAAAAAACCCAAACUUUGAUGGUUGAUAUCUCGGCUUCUAUAGGAGCUAUCGGGAAAAUUCCAACGGUUUUGUCUUAGUUUCGUCAUUCUGAAUCCAACGAGAUC